rnacentral:lncRNA from 1 species
AACCUUUGAAAAAUUGUUUUAAUUCAUUUGUCUUCUCUUAGUGGACCUGGAAUCUUUCUAUGGCCUUCUUUCCUAGGGCUGCAUUAUUUGAUUUAAUCCUUUUUUGCCCGAGCCGAAGGAUCUAAUGAGAAACUGUUGGUUCACAAUCAACCCUUGGAAGUGUCAACAUCUAGAUCGACAAAUUUUACAGUAAGGUUGUCAUUAAAUUCUUUUGAGGCCCCUAUAGAAGUGAAGUUAUUUCAUGUAAUUAUAAUUGUGCUUGCUAUUUAUCAGGUGACUGGAAUUUUCAGCUGCGGCGGUCGACAUGUGCCUGAGAAGUAGGUGAGACGGCACUAAGGCUCAGAUGGAGGUGACACUGCCUGUCGCGGCAUCUCCAAGAUGGAGAUGGAGCUAGGACCUGGACGUAGGCAGGGACGACGCAACUUGUCGUGGUGUCGGCGGCGGAGGACAUGCAGCGGGUUAUGGGGUUUGGGUAGAGGUGGGUUAGAUGGAUGACGGCGGCAGCAGCGGUACCUCGGGCAGACCAGGGCGGCAAGGCUGCAACGUGGGCGGUCGUGUGUGUUGGCGUAACGGACCCGACUGAAGAGAAACCUU